AUGAUGAUGAUGAUGAUGACGAUGACGGAGGAGAGAGAGUGUAUGAGAGGAGAGAGAGUGAGUCACAUUGUGUGUGAUGAUGAUGAUGAUGAUGACGGAAGAGAGAGAGUGAGUCACAUUGUGUGUGAUGAUGAUGAUGAUGACGGAAGGAGCGAGUGUAUGAGAGAGAGGAGAGUGAGUCACAU
rnacentral:lncRNA from 1 species